UGCUGGAGACUAUCGUUGAGUAGAAAGAUGAAACCUCUGAGUUCAUUUUUCAUUGUAGAGAAUACAUAAACGAGCUGACACUCUCUUUGUGUUCUGAGACUGUAUAUUUGAUGUUUUGUGAGGCCUGCGAGUUGUUUUCAGCACGUUGAUAUAUUCUUGACUAGUGUGUUGAUUUUUUCGCGGGUCGGGUUGAAAGACUGGUGGGGGUUCCCCGAAUGAACGGGUUCCCGGGUUCACUUAAUUCAACCCGCAAACCCGACCCGGGUUUUUGGGGGCGCUUAUCGGCGUAUAUAACGGGUGUCGCGCCUAAACUACUUAACUAGGUUUAGUUAAGCCUCUAUAAGCCUGGGCGUGGGUCCCCUAAGCGCGGACAUGUUUUUUUCACAGGUUGGGUCGGGUCGGGUUCCAGGGUGACAUGCCCGCAAUAACGGGCUUUUUCAUGGGCCGGGUUCACAACCUUAUUGUUGACGGAGUAUUGUAUCCUUGAAGAUAGAUUCUUGUUUCCAUUACUGUUUCAGUUGUAUCUGUUUCUUCUAGUCUAUGUCUCAUUAUAUGUAUCUGACUCUCCAAUUCUGUAAACUCUUGCCAAA
rnacentral:sRNA from 1 species